UUUUACAAGAUCUAAUGAUUUUUUUUCUAUAAUUGUAGAUUGUGCCUUGUCCAUUGUUAGCACUUACAAUUUACUUGGAAGUUGUUUCGGUGUUGCCCUACAUAAGGUCAACGACUGAUGCAAAACAUAAAGGUUCGGUCUGGAGAAGGACCAUAGUGAGUACUUAACCAAAUACCAAAGGUUUCAUUGAUUCAAAUGAAACUUGAGGGACUAAAUUUAAGUAUUCAAACCUCUAUCAUGAUCAUGGAUAUUGGUUAAGUCUCAACUUAUUAGGAGGAAAGUAAUCUCCAGGACGUUUAUUUUCAGAAAAGGGAUAAAGCUGGGUUUGCAAGCUAAGUCUAUGAAGUUUUGAAUGCAGAAAAAGGACCAGUACGUGAAGAUUGUUGCACAUCCUGAUCACUGGAUCUAUUCAGAAACGGAUAAGUUAAUUUGCAUGGUUGUGGUUUGAUAAACUUAAUUUUGCGGUUGUCAUGAACUUAUGGUCAUGUUUGGAUAGCUUAGCUUGUAGUAAUUGUAGAAGUUUAUAAACUUAACUUAAGUGAAUGUACAUAUAUGUUGUACCAGUUUUUGGUUGAGA